GAUCUACUCCCUCCGUUCGGAAUUACUAGUCCAAGAAAUGAAUUUAUCUAGAUGUAUUUUAGUUGUAGAUACAUCCAUUUUUAUUCAUUUUUGUGACAAGUAAUUCCGAACGGAGGGAGUAUGUG
rfam:Triticum aestivum genome assembly, contig: Triticum_aestivum_CS42_TGACv1_scaffold_433353_5DL